rnacentral:tRNA from 1 species
UCCCUGGUGGUCCAGUGGUUAGGACUUGGUGCUUUCACAGCCAUGGGCCUGGAUUCAAUCCCUGGUUGGGGAA